CCAAGCGGAAAAGACCAGAGUUUUAGCCAUUGAUCCUAAUAAUUUUUUCUUAAAGAGUAGUUAAAGAUAAGAAUGUUUGAAUAUAGCAGCAUUUUUGUUAUGUGUAAAACUGGAAAAGCCUAAAUGUGUAAUAAUAUGAAGGAUUUAAUACAUUAUAAUUCUUUCCUGUGUUGAAUUUUUUUAGUGAAGAAAAAUCACGUUUUUGACGCCUAUAUAACAACAUGGAAAAAGUUCAGGUUU
rnacentral:lncRNA from 1 species